UUAAAUGAAAAUUUGGCCUUCACUACAGGAAAAAUUGAGAAAGAAUUUUAAGUAAGGAGAGAGGCGAGAAAUGGAAUGACCAUACUGUUAAAUUUUCAAAUUCAAAGUCUUCUGAAGAACACAGCAGGAUAGCUUGCAUUGAAGACAUGUACAAGAAAAGUAUCAACAGAUUAGAAAAUAAUGUGCAGGCGUUAGUAAGAGAAAAUCUAGAGUUGAGGAAAUUGUUGGAUAAUGUCAGCAGUGACUUGGCCCAUCUGUUGACUAAAAACCCAUCUGGACGAAAAUAUUGAUAUUAUUGAGGAAAAACCAGGAUGACGCUAUCAUCGUAAGACAUUCUUAAUACUCUGAUCUCAGCCGUAUUGUAAAAAAGUCAUUUUGUUAUUUGGUGAAAAUGAUUAAUUAGCAUAGUUUCUUUUGUAACAUUUGUACUAAAUACAAGUUAGUUAACACUCGA